CGGGAGAAUCACGUGGACAUCAUGGUUCCGUUUUGAUGGGAGACUAUUAAGACGCGUCCAAUGCAUCAAACGCCGGCGCACUGAACACGCCCACGCGAGCACGCGCACACCAAGCGUAGUUAGUGAGGCGCGCGCGCGCGCGGGCUGAGCUCCUCUGAGAGUUGAGUUGAGCCAAACAGCCGCUCUGCCGCUGCAUCAACGGGGGAACGGACUUGAGGAAUUUGUACCUGCAAAGAGGCAACGGGCGCUUCUGCAAUUGUUCUACAGGCAAGUUUCAUCUCCGAGAUUCUUGGUGUCUUCUCUGAGGUUUCUCCUCUGAGUGGCCCAGAUCAAGUGACUUCUUCUUUCUCCGCAGCACUGGCUCUGUGGAGCUUCCAUCUAAAACACCCACAAAGUGAGCCAUUGUGUCCCUAAGUGCCAUUUCAAGUUAUAUUUGGGACACUUAGUUCAUGAAAGUUAUUUAUUAAAGACCAAAGUGUCAUUGUCAUUUCAACGCAUCCAUUACACUAAUAUGUGUUGCUUCAAUGUUUCAGCCUGGAAGGAAGAAUGAUGAGCCUUUGUCAUGUGAUCAGCACGGUGGUCAUACUUUCAAAGAUGAGAUGUUUGGUCCAAGCAAGCAGGACAGUGCUGGUUCUGAAAACAAAACGUGUUGUAGUUUAGUAGUGGGUUUGUCGAAGUGGGAUGAACUUCCCGAAAUUUCUUUUCAUCUUUAUUUCAGCUAGCAACUCCUACAAUACCAGAAAAUCAGUCUAAAGUAGAAUCCACCCAGCGGGGGUGCAGUUCCUUCACAGGAAAAACAUCCGCAUGAUUUGGAUUUCACAUCAAGGCGGACACACGCGCGCGCGCGCACACACGCACAGGCUUGUGCGCGCACAGCUGGAUUGCACUUUCUAUAUUUGUAUGUACAACGUGAUCCUGAUUUCAUCUUGUGACAUCCAACUAAAGUUGCGCUAAUGAGCCUCAGGCCUGUUGAUGCAGAAGACCUUUGUCUGCAGAUGACAUUCAUGUCCUUUUACACAUUAGUCAAUUUGCUAUCGAUUAAAGACCGUGCGCAAGUA